UACGGAGGGUGCGAGCGUUGUCCGGAAUCACUGGGCGUAAAGGGCGCGUAGGCGGCCCCGUAAGCGUGCGGUGAAAGCCUGGGGCUCAACCCCGGGUCGGCCGUGCGAACUGUGGGGCUCGAGCACUGUAGAGGCAGGCGGAAUUCCGGGUGUAGCGGUGGAAUGCGUAGAGAUCCGGAAGAACACCGGUGGCGAAGGCGGCCUGCUGGGCAGUGGCUGACGCUGAGGCGCGACAGCGUGGGGGAGCAAACAGGAUUAGAAACCC
rnacentral:rRNA from 1 species